GAUGAACGCUGGCGGCGUGCUUAACACAUGCAAGUCGAACGGAAAGGCCCAAGCUUGCUUGGGUACUCGAGUGGCGAACGGGUGAGUAACACGUGGGUGAUCUGCCCUGCACUUCGGGAUAAGCCUGGGAAACUGGGUCUAAUACCGGAUAGGACCACAUUUUGGAUGGUGUGGUGGAAAGUUUUUCGGUGUGGGAUGAGCUCGCGGCCUAUCAGCUUGUUGGUGGGGUAAUGGCCUACCAAGGCGUCGACGGGUAGCCGGCCUGAGAGGGUGUACGGCCACAUUGGGACUGAGAUACGGCCCAGACUCCUACGGGAGGCAGCAGUGGGGAAUAUUGCACAAUGGGCGCAAGCCUGAUGCAGCGACGCCGCGUGGGGGAUGACGGCCUUCGGGUUGGAAACUCCUUUCGCUAGGGACGAAGCGUUUUUGUGACGGUACCUGGAGAAGAAGCACCGGCUAACUACGU
rnacentral:rRNA from 1 species